rnacentral:rRNA from 1 species
AGUGAACGCUGGCGGUAGGCCUAACACAUGCAAGUCGAACGGCAGCACAGUAAGAGCUUGCUCUUACGGGUGGCGAGUGGCGGACGGGUGAGGAAUACAUCGGAAUCUACUUUUUCGUGGGGGAUAACGUAGGGAAACUUACGCUAAUACCGCAUACGACCUACGGGUGAAAGCAGGGGAGCUUCGGACCUUGCGCGAUUGAAUGAGCCGAUGUCGGAUUAGCUAGUUGGCGGGGUAAAGGCCCACCAAGGCGACGAUCCGUAGCUGGUCUGAGAGGAUGAUCGGCCACACUGGAACUGAGACACGGUCCAGACUCCUACGGGAGGCAGCAGUGGGGAAUAUUGGGCAAUGGGCGCAAGCCUGAUCCAGCCAUACCGCGUGGGUGAAGAAGGCCUUCGGGUUGUAAAGCCCUUUUGUUGGGAAAGAAAAGCAGCAGGUUAAUACCCCGCUGUUCUGACGGUACCCAAAGAAUAAGCACCGGCUAACUUCGUG